rnacentral:lncRNA from 1 species
GGAGGGCUCUUGGCUCUAGCUGUCCCCUGAACUGACCUGGGUGUCACAAACAUGUGGCUGCUGAGCUGGGCUUAUAAGAGCCAUGUGGCUGAAGGGAUAAGGGGGCACUUCCCACUCUCUCAGGCCCCAGGGAAGGAGAGAAACUGCUGAGCGGCAGGCUUCCACUGGGGAGAAUCUGCAUGGGCCGGCCCUGCUACUCCAAGUAGGUAGAAACAAGUCACCUGGUGAACCCCAAGGUGGCCAGAAAGACCGCUUUCCAGGGCAGCCCCUGCUGCCUGCUCUGUAAGGAUUGUCCCUCGGACUCCUCCAGCCCCACUCCUCCAGCUCAUCAAAGGCAUCAACUACCUGGACCAAUCCACCAAUGCCUAUAACAGCUGCCACAAGACAUUGCAGAGCCUGCCAAAGCUUGCAGCCAACUACCUGGAAAGGGCUGCCAGCUCCCUCAACCUAGACCACCAGGACCACCCCUUGCCCCAGAGUUACUCCAGCCCCAGCACCAGCGUGACCAUCCCAAACAACUCCACCACCAGCACCUGCAUGGUGCUGUCCCUCAGGGGUGCCAGUGCCCUGCAGUGCCUGGAUGACUCCACCAACACGAGUUAUCCGUGCAGGUCUCAUUGCCAGAACUUCACUAUCGCGCUGCCACGGGGUCCACGUACAAAGCUGCCUGAGCUCCCUUUGCUUAGCAAUGGGCUCUUUGCCUUAGGUUGUCUGCCCAAGGUCUGGGAAGCAAUCUGCUCAGGCUGGAGUGACCCUGAGCCCAUCUCCAAACCCCCAAGCUGGUGGUGACACUGACGCCAACUGUGAAACGUGCACAUGCCCCUCAGGCCACAGUUGUGGAAAAUAAAUCGUCUGUGGCAAAAUACUUCUUCUAAGACUUUGUUGGAGGGGAAUGGCCAUUUAGAUUAGGGUUAUAAACUCAAGGGCCUCUGGGGCCAGGCAGGGAAAAGUGAAAUGAGAGAAUUUCAGGCAGGGCAGUAGCAGGGAAUGAUAGACUGUGGAUGGGUGGAGAGGGACUGCCUAGUCUCAACC